CAUUAAAGAGUUCUAUAACUCCCAAACCCAUGUGAACAUACCUAACGUUGCCUCGGCAGGUCGCACCUACCUUGUAGCACCCUACCCUGUAGGGCCUACCCGGGAGGUGCGGGUAAGCCUGCCGGCGGCCCACCAAACUCUGUUUGAUAUUGAAUUCUGAACCUAUAACUAAAUAAGUUAAAACUUUCAACAACGGAUCUCUUGGUUCUGGCAUCGAUGAAGAACGCAGCGAAAUGCGAUAAGUAAUGUGAAUUGCAGAAUUCAGUGAAUCAUCGAAUCUUUGAACGCAUAUUGCGCCCAUUAGUAUUCUAGUGGGCAGGACCGUUCGAGCGUCAUUUCAACCCUUAAGCCUUCGUUGCUUAGUGUUGGGAGCCUACGGCAACGUAGCUCCUCAAAGUUAGUGGCGGAGUUGGUUCACACUCUAGACGUAGUAAUUUUUUAUCUCGCCUAUUAGUUGGACUAAUCCCCUGCCGUAAAACCCCCAAUUUAUCAAGGUUGACCUCGAAUCGGUUCAGACAAACUCGCUAAAUUGAAGCAUCUUAGUCAGCGAAGGAAAAGAAACCAACAGGGAUUGCCCUAGUAACGGCGAGUGAAGCGGCAACAGCUCAAAUUUGAAAUCUGG
rnacentral:rRNA from 1 species